rnacentral:rRNA from 1 species
ACUCUAAUGAGACUGCCCGGUGGACAAACCGGAGGAAGUGGGGAUGACGUCAAGUCCUCAUGGCCCUUAUAGUGGGGCUACACACGUCAUACAAUGGCCGGUACAAAGGGCUGCCAACCCGCAGGGGGAGCCAAUCCCAUAAAACCGGUCGUAGUCCGGAUCGCAGUCUGCAACUCGACUGCGUGAAGUCGGAAUCGCUAGUAAUCGUGGAUCAGAAUGUCACGGUGAAUACGUUCCCGGGUCUU